rnacentral:sRNA from 1 species
GAUGUCAGGGUCAAAAGGCCUAAACCCACAUGAGCUUGCUCAUAAGUGGGUGAAAGACCUUGGGACCCGUCUCGAUAUGAGCAUAAAAGUGGGAUGGAUAUCCCACGAUAUGCGAAUAUUGGGCAGGAUUGUGAGAGUGCGCAGCAGGUCACGAUCCGUAGACA